rnacentral:rRNA from 1 species
GUCUUUCGUGUAUUAAAUAUAAAGUCUAACCUCCCACUGAAAUUUUUAAAUGGCCGCAGUACACUAACUGUGCAAAGGUAGCAUAAUCAUUAGUCUUUUAAUUGAAGGCUGGUAUGAAUGGUUGGACGAGAUAUUAACUGUUUCAUUAAAAUUUAUAAUAGAAUUUUAUUUUUUAGUCAAAAAGCUAAAAUUAAUUUAAAAGACGAGAAGACCCUAUAAAUCUUUAUAUUUUUUUUAUAAUAAUUAAUUAGAUUAAUUUUGUUAUUAUAAAAUGAAAUAUUUUAUUGGGGUGAUAUUAAAAUUUAAUAAACUUUUAAUUUUUUAAAAACAUUAAUUUAUGAAUAAAUGAUCCAUUAAUAAUGAUUAUAAAUUUAAGUUACUUUAGGGAUAACAGCGUAAUUUUUUUGGAGAGUUCAUAUCGAUAAAAAAGAUUGCGACCUCGAUGUUGGAUUAAGAUAUAAUUUUAGGCGCAGCCGUUUAAAUUUUAAGUCUGUUCGACUUUUAAAUUCUU